CGGUGUUCAACUGGCGUGUCCGCGAGACGUCCUGCCGGUGGGCUUAGCCCGCAAGGGCGGCCCAACUUCAAAUCCCAUCGCGGUGCUCUUCACUGAGUGUCGAGGUGGGCCGGCACGUUUACUUUGAACAAAUUAGAGUGCUUAAAGCAGGCUAAAACUUCGCCUGAAUACUGUGUGCAUGGAAUAAUGGAAUAGGACCUCGGUUCUAUUUUGUUGGUUUUCGGAACCCCGAGGUAAUGAUUAAUAGGAACGGAUGGGGGCAUUCGUAUUGCGACGUUAGAGGUGAAAUUCUUGGAUCGUCGCAAGACGGACAGAAGCGAAAGCAUUUGCCAAAAACGCUUUCAUUGAUCAAGAACGAAAGUUAGAGGUUCGAAGGCGAUCAGAUACCGCCCUAGUUCUAACCAUAAACGAUGCCAGCUAGCGAUCCGUCGACGUUCCUCCGAUGACUCGACGGGCAGCUUCCGGGAAACCAAAGCUUUUGGGUUCCGGGGGAAGUAUGGUUGCAAAGCUGAAACUUAAAGGAAUUGACGGAAGGGCACCACCAGGAGUGGAGCCUGCGGCUUAAUUUGACUCAACACGGGAAACCUCACCAGGCCCGGACACCGGAAGGAUUGACAGAUUGAGAGCUCUUUCUUGAUUCGGUGGGUGGUGGUGCAUGGCCGUUCUUAGUUGGUGGAGCGAUUUGUCUGGUUAAUUCCGAUAACGAACGAGACUCUAGCCUGCUAACUAGGCGUAUUUUCGACAUCUCAAAGGUCCGUCGUCCCGGCCCUCGGGUCGUGGGCGUGCGCGAUUUUUACUGUCGGCGUACUAUCAAUUCUUCUUAGAGGGACAGGUGGCUUCUAGCCGCACGAGAUUGAGCAAUAACAGGUCUGUGAUG
rnacentral:rRNA from 1 species